AUGUGGCAAUCUGAUGGGGGUAUCUCCUCACAGGAGAUGAACUUAAUCAAUUGGCAUAUAGCAAUUCAUGAGUACGCCAAUGCAGGAUCAUCUUCAAGGCUUAGCCUUGCAUUUUGGGACCAGGAUGAUACGUAUGACAUGGGUGGGGAUCACUGCUUCUUGCCUGGUGGCAACGGGAGGCUUGUACAUGCCUGGCAGAGAAUGUGCCUAUUGUUUAUGAGAGGACAGUGCACACUAUGUGGUAUGGAGGGGAUGGUGUGCAGGUGGUUGUCAAUGGUGGUCAGCUAUGCAUGGCUGGUCGUCCGUUGUUUAUGGCAUUGGUUGCUGGUGAAGCUGCCCACUACCUUGAAACCACGCCUCCAACUGACGCUGUCACCUCAGUUCUUGAGAUACCAAGGGGUAUCUAUGAAGCAACAAGGGGUUGAGUUGGAGCAUCUGGAGAUGACUAUGACAGGCACAUGCUCUUUCAGUCUAGGUCCAUAUCCGCAUGUAGCUGUUGGAGCAUCUGGAGUUGACUAUGACAUAUUAGCCGAAAGUGUUGGAGAUGGGUGGUUGUUUUUUGCUGGAGAAGCCACCACAAGGCGUUACCCUGCAACAAUGCACGGACCUUUUAUUACGGGCGUACAAGAGGCUGCUAACAUCAGUAUCCAUGCCACCGCCCGAGUAACAAAGACCAAAGUGGAAAAAAGCCCAUCUACGGACGCUCAAGCUUGUGCUAGCUUACUAGUAGACUUGUUUAGGUUACCAGACCUGGAAUUUGGGAGCUUCUCUGUCAUUUUUGGGGGAAAAAGGCUUGGAUCCGAAAUCUCCAGCUAUUCUAAAUGUGGAAGUGUGGAACUAGAUUCAUUUGGAUGGGGCCUCUCCUCAGAUGUGCUCACAAUCUCAUGCCGCAUACUAUAUUUCGGGUUGUAUGUUAGUCUUGUUGGUAAAAUGUCCAUGUCAUCAACCAACAAGCUAUCAUACAACUACUCCAAUGGGUUGUAUGCAUCUGACCACAUUGCAACUACAUAUGCUGAGCUCAGAGAUGGUACUGCAAAUGCAAAGUCUGGUGGAGGUACCCUUCCAAUUACUGCCAGGAAACUGGAAACAAUAAUUCGUCUAUCUACUGCCCAUGCAAAGAUGAAACUGAGACACGAGGUUCUGAAAACUGAUGUCGAGGCUGCACUGCAAGUUCUGAUUUUUGCAAUAUUCCGCAAGGAAUUGACUGGCAUGGAAGACCGUGAGCAGAGGGAGACUGAGAAACAACAAGCUGAACAAGAUGCAGGUGCAGGUGGUGAUAAUGUAGAUAGGCCUGGAGGAGCAAGUGGUGGCUAUGCAGACGGGUAUGGAAGAAUGGAAGCAUUUGAGGCAAUUCUUGGACAGCAUGUGCUGGCAAAUCAUGUUGAUCAAAUGUCCAUUGAUGAAGUUGAGCAAACAGUCAACCAAAGGAUGCAAGAUGCAAACAGGACAAUGAUUCGGGAUGGCAUUGUUCGCAUCAUCUAA
rnacentral:rRNA from 1 species